rnacentral:lncRNA from 1 species
CAUGGUUGUAAUGACCAAAAUCACUUAAAACUGAAGGAUGGACAGGAGGUGGUUGUAAUGAUUGAAAUCACCUGAAAUUGAAGGAAGGACAGGAUGUGCUUGUAAUGAAAGAAGUCACCUAAAAUUGAGGAAGAAGAUGGGAAGCAAUCGCAAUGACUAAAAUCACCAAAAUUUAAGAAAUGAAAUGUGACGUGAUUGUAAUGAUCGAAAUCACCUAAAACUAAAGAUAGGACGGGAG